rnacentral:rRNA from 1 species
CCUCGGGGUGCACCAGUGAGGAAUAUUGCACAAUGGGGGGAACCCUGAUGCAGCAACGCCGCGUGGAGGAUGACGCAUUUCGGUGUGUAAACUCCUUUUAUAUGUCAAGAAAAUGACGGUAGCAUAUGAAUAAGCACCGGCUAACUCCGUGCCAGCAGCCGCGGUAAUACGGAGGGUGCAAGCGUUACUCGGAAUCACUGGGCGUAAAGGACGCGUAGGCGGGUUGGAAAGUCAGGUGUGAAAUCCUACAGCUUAACUGUAGAACUGCACUUGAAACUUCUAAUCUAGAGUAUGGGAGGGGGAGAUGGAAUUAGUGGUGUAGGGGUAAUAUCCGUAGAUAUCACUAGGAAUACCUAAAGCGAAGGCGAUCUCCUGGAACAUUACUGACGCUAAGGCGUGAAAGCGUGGGGAGCAAACAGGAUUAGAUACCCCAGUAGUC